rnacentral:lncRNA from 1 species
CGCAGCUGCUCAACCAUCGCCUCCUAUAUUAAAGAUGCCUGAGGAAUGGCUCGAGCUCCCAGCGGAGCCGGCCUGCCUUCAGUUUU